rnacentral:tRNA from 1 species
CCAGGUCGCCGGUCCGGUAGAUGCGGGCGUUCUCGCCGCCCGCCACCUCCCGCUCCGUACGGAACGGGUUGGG